rnacentral:rRNA from 1 species
UGGGGAAUUUUGGACAAUGGGCGAAAGCCUGAUCCAGCAAUGCCGCGUGUGUGAAGAAGGCCUUCGGGUUGUAAAGCACUUUUGUCCGGAAAGAAAUCCUUGGCUCUAAUACAGUCGGGGGAUGACGGUACCGGAAGAAUAAGCACCGGCUAACUACGUGCCAGCAGCCGCGGUAAUACGUAGGGUGCAAGCGUUAAUCGGAAUUACUGGGCGUAAAGCGUGCGCAGGCGGUUUGCUAAGACCGAUGUGAAAUCCCCGGGCUCAACCUGGGAACUGCAUUGGUGACUGGCAGGCUAGAGUAUGGCAGAGGGGGGUAGAAUUCCACGUGUAGCAGUGAAAUGCGUAGAGAUGUGGAGGAAUACCGAUGGCGAAGGCAGCCCCCUGGCAAGUACUGACGCUCAUGCACGAAAAGCGUGGGGGAGCAAACAGGAUUAGAUACCCUGGUAGUCCACGCCCUAAACGAUGUCAACUAGUUGUUGGGGAUUCAUUUCCUUAGUAACGUAGCUAACGCGUGAAGUUGACCGCCUGGGGAGUACGGUCGCAAGAUUAAAACUCAAAUAAUUG